AUUGAACGCUGGUGGCAUGUCUUACACAUGCAAGUCGAACGGCAGCACGGGGCAACCUGGUGGCGAGUGGCGAACGGGUGAGUAAUGCAUCGGAACGUACCUUUCAGUGGGGGAUAACGUAGCGAAAGUUACGCUAAUACCGCAUAUUCUGUGAGCAGGAAAGCAGGGGAUCGCAAGACCUUGCGCUGAUUGAGCGGCCGAUGUCAGAUUAGCUAGUUGGUGAGGUAAAGGCUCACCAAGGCGACGAUCUGUAGCGGGUCUGAGAGGAUGAUCCGCCACACUGGAACUGAGACACGGUCCAGACUCCUACGGGAGGCAGCAGUGGGGAAUUUUGGACAAUGGGGGCAACCCUGAUCCAGCCAUGCCGCGUGAGUGAAGAAGGCCUUCGGGUUGUAAAGCUCUUUCGGCCGGGAAGAAAUCGCACGGGCUAAUACCCUGUGUGGAUGACGGUACCGGAAUAAGAAGCACUGGCUAACUACGUGCCAGCAGCCGCCGUAA
rnacentral:rRNA from 1 species